AAGACCCAGGCAGACCAGCAAAGCAAACGGCACUGUAAGAGUUAAAUGAAGGUCUUUAAUGUCUAUUAACAAAACAAAAGGAGGCUCUUAAAGUCAGAGUUGUAAACACAAAAGGCUUGCGGUCAGCAGGAAUGUAAACAAACUGGUCUCAGUCAGUCUUUGCUGGCAAAAGGAAAGCAAGUCUAAACAGAAGCAGGCAGCUUGGAUUCAGCAGUAAAACUCAGUCCGUUUCAAAGGCAAACAAAACAGCAAACAGCAAUCCACAUGAAGAGUGGUCCAACGAAGGUUCCAGGGAUUAGCAGAGGCGUAGUCAGGCAGUCCGAGGGUCAAGGCAAGGAAGACUCACGAGUCUGGUUCCGGCAGGGUUGUUCACACGAUCAGGAAACACGAAGCUGCAAACAAGAGCUCACGGCAGGAGUUAAACACAAGGCACACGGUGAAUCCCGGCUGCGCCAUUGUUGCCAGUCAGUACUUCGGGCUCCAUCCUGCAAAGUAUUAUCUGCAACCCAAGUAUCAUCAAAACCCUGGAAUUCAUCACUAGAGGUGGGAGCAGUAAUCACAUCCAUUACUUCCUGAACUUUAGUCCAGUCCAGCUCUUCCUCUUCGCUGUCAAACUGCCCACAAUCAGCUAUAUCUCUAAGGCGUUUAGCAACAGAUCCCACAUCGCUAUUCGAGCUGCUGGCUACUCUCUUUACACCUCUGUAAUCUUCCAGCUCCAUUUCCUCGCGAGUAAAA